AGUGAACGCUGGCGGUGUGCUUAACACAUGCAAGUCGAACGAGAACGGACUAAAGCUUGCUUUAGUUGUCAGCUAAGUGGCGCACGGGUGAGUAAUGUAUAGCUAACCUGCCCUAAAGAGGGGGAUAAUUAAUGGAAACGUUUUGUAAUACCCUAUAUACUUUAUAUACACAAGUGUAUAAAGAAAACUUUCGUGCUUUAGGAUGGGGCUGUAUUGUAUCAGCUUGUUGGUAGUGUAAUGGACUACCAAGGCUAUGACGCAUAACUGGUUUGAGAGGAUGAUCAGUCACACUGGAACUGAGACACGGUCCAGACUCCUACGGGAGGCAGCAGUGGGGAAUAUUGCACAAUGGGGGAAACCCUGAUGCAGCAACACCGCGUGGAGGAUGGACACUUUUCGGAGCGUAAACUCCUUUUAUAUCCCAAGAUAAUGACGGUAGGAUAUGAAU
rnacentral:rRNA from 1 species